GCCAGUUUCUUUAAAAGUGAUAUUUAAUAGUGUAUUUGGCUGUGACCAAAUACAGAAUUUUAAUAAUCAUUCGGCCUAGAUGUGGAUUUGGUACAACUGUAGAAGAAAUUCGAAGGAGCCAUUUUAAAAUGUAUUCCCUUUUUCUUCUAGCCACCCAAUUAGCACAGUAUCAAAUACCGUGUCUCCCAGAGAGGACCAGCCCACACACCAGUUGUUCAGGGCUGGUGUACAAGAGAACAGUAACCAGUCAUUAUGUUCUUGGACAGACUGGCUGCUUGACCUUUCCAGAAAAAGCCUGGCAAGUUAGGGAGGUGUGGCAGGAGAGCGGGUGGGAUAAAGAGGUUUUCGCUGUGGUUGGCAGAACUUCGUUUGCCAUCUGCUGGAGAUUUGCUCCAUUCACCAACUCACGAGCCUUUAGAGGAGUCAAAUUCUAUACCUGUUAGUUACCAAAAUGAAAUCCUGUCUUUCCCAUUUUGGUAGUCCACCCACAAACACCGGUAUCUUCCUUCGCAUGUUUAGUGCUAACCCUCAUGAUAAAGGGGUAGCUGGAGUUGACUCAAAUAAUCGCCUAAUUGGGAAUCUGUGCCAUCUAAGUGAUAAGCUGUGUGGAUCGGGGCAUUUUGCCCACCAGCUUGGCUUAGAUUGGUUUCAAGUCUGCCUCCUGUUCCUAUCGCUCUUCUAGGGCCAUUGGGUAUUUCUCAAGGCAAUGGGAUAAGGACGAAAGGGGAGAGAGAGCCAGCUAUCUCAAGAUCUGCUGCAGCGCGAAUUGCUUAUUGGGUGUACGUUUUGGUCCCCUCUGCUUUUACAUUUAUAGAGAGUUGAGAAAGGUGAUUUGCACUGUUUUCCCAACUCCAGAAUGCUAGCAUUCCUCUAAAACAAUGCUGUUCAAACUCUUUUGACAGGUGGAACCCUUCAAACAAAAUCCUAUCAAAGGCAUACAUAAAGUGCAUAAAAUCAGAAUGGCUCUGUAAAAGCAGAGGCUGGGGGCUCCUUGUCCCCCACCAGCUUCAGUCCCCAACGAUUGAAACCACUGCUUUAAGAGAACUGCUUACAGGCCUGGGUUUGUAGACCAGCAUCGGUAAGAUACCAAUACAACCUUACAGUCUUAGAACUUUCUCAGCUUUGUGAUGCCUUGUCUAGUAUCUAAGAAAUGUAAUCCAGGUACCAUCCUGAUAGAAAGUCAAACAGAUUAUCACUUUGGGAUUAUUUGGCUUGCUUUCCCUUCUUAGCACUGCAUUACAGGACACAGAUCAGGAAAGCAUUCUGCAGAUCUGAACACAACAUCCUUUAGGAGGCCAGGGUGUUUCAUUGAGGGGGUUCCAGGGCCAUUUUCUUUGUUUCUUGAUGUGUGUGUGUGUAAUUUUAAUUAAGUGUAUUUUACUGUGUGUGUAUAUAUUACCAUUUUAUGUGUUACAUAUUUUAUAUGCUGUAGAUUUUUUAGUGUAUUUUUUGUGAAAUACCUGAAUACAAAUGUGUGUGUGUGUGUGUGUGUGUGUGUGUGUGUGUAAAACACCCACAUACCCACCACCUGGGUUAAGAAACAGAAUAUUACCAAUAUCUUAGGAGCCCCCUGGAUGUACCUGCCCAAUUACAUAUACUCCCUCCAGAGUUAAGCACUGUCUUGAAUUUGAGAUUAAUAUUUUCCUUGCUUUUUAUUGUGUAUGUCCCUAAACAAUAUAUUGUUAAAUUUUGCCAAUUUUUUAACUUUAUAUAUGCUGGGUGUAUUCUUUUGUGAGUGGCUUCUUUCAGCAUUUUUUAAUUUAAAAUUUUUUUUUAAGUUUUAUUUAUUUAAGUAAAUCUCUACACCCAAUGUGGGGCUCGAACUCACCGCCCCAAGAUCAAGAGGUGCAUGCUCUUCCACCUGAGCCAACCAGAUGCCCCUCAACAUAUUUUUUUUAGAGAUUUUUAUCCAUGUUGACAUGCUCAAUUCCCAUUUUAAGGUUUUUUGGGGUCCGGGGGGGUUCCCCUCCUUUCUUUUUUUUCCCCCUCUACGUUUUUUCUAUUUGUUUGAAGUUAUAUUUUUUAUGACUUCUCUUUUAGUAGUUACUCUAGCAAUUCUAAAAUGCAUUAAUCGUGUCAAGAGUUACUAUCUUUGCUCUUCUCAUUUUCUUUCUUUUGGGAUUGAAGACAAGACAGGUGUUCGACCCCAUUCUUCCAUUUCCCGGUAACCUCUCUUUUCCAUCUCUGUCCCUGUGAUCUACAUUCUCUAUCUUCAGCUCUAGCUUCUAGUUUACUAAUUUUCUCCUCACUCAUGCCUAAUCUAAUCCAGCCACUGCAUUUUUAAAUUUUAAUUGCUAUACUUUUAUUUCAAGUACUGUUUUUGUUUUAUUUUCUAAAACCUGCUCGGUCAUUCUUUGUUGUUAUUUUUCCCCUGCUAAUCUUUUAAAACUUUGGUUCUAUUUCUCUAAGUAUAAUAACCAUGGUUAUUUUAUAUUCCAUCUGACUAUUCCAAUAUCUGAAGUCCCUGGGAAUCUGUUUCUAUCAUUUGUUACUCCUCUUACUGGUUUUUCAUUGUUGUUUGGUCUGUGUGUUAUGUGAGUUUUGAGUGGGAGUUGCCCAUUUUCCUUGCAUCUUUACCCAUGGAGAGUCCCUGUGGCCUGGAUUGAAGUUGAGUUCUGUCAGUCAAGAUUGAGUUUGCCUCUGCAGGUAGAGUGGGACAGGGAUGGUGAAGAAAUUUUAAAUUCCUCACUUGACACUUUUCAGAUCAUGCAGGUAUCACAAAAUUAGGUCUCAAACCUAGAGGUCCUGGUUGUAAAUUCUCAGGAGAGCUUUUCAUUUCCCUCUACCCAGUGCCAGGGUCAAGACAGGCAGGUUUCUUUGCUGUCCCUUUACGUGUGGCAGGGUUAUUGCUUCUUUUUCUUUAUGCCAUAUACGCGGCUGUAUUCAUGGUCAACUGUAAUUCAGUUGAACCACGUGAGGAUGCCUACAGAAUUCAGCAGUGUCAUAGAAAAUGGCAGCUUUCUAACAGACUCCCCUUCCCCCACCCUUUAGCAGGUUCUGGACUUUAUCCCCUUCCCCACUAGCCCUAGAGAGUCGUAAGAACUGAAGCAGAAGGUCUCCAGGGUUUUGUAGAAGCCUUGAAGACAGAAACCAUUUUGAUGCUCACCUGCCUCCCCAAGCUCAAGUUUCUUAUUUCUGCUUUGUUUAGGGAUCAGUCUGUCAAUCCCUUUAAUGCCAACCCUGUAGUUUAUUUUUUAAAAACCUAAUUUUUAUAUUUAACAUUUUAGGUGUUUUAAUCAGGAGGGUCUCUCAGGGUCUUUCUCCAUUCUUUGGUCUCCCCAAGUUUCUCUCAGCUCAUUUCUAGUUCAGUAGUUGAUAUAAUUAAGUUGAACCCUUGGCAUUGUUUUUACCCUUGGCAUUGUUGUUUCAGGAAUUCAAACACCCCACCACUUAAACCCAGAGACUUUAGGUCUUGGGUGCCUGUCAGAUUUCUCUUUAAUAGUUUCAUCCUUUGAUCCUGGAUCCCACUUCAAAUGGAAAUUAUUUUUUAGUUCAUAUUUAAAUUGUUUGAAGUUACCACCUGCAGAUCCGUUUAAGGUCAGAGUUUGGUGUAGAAAAUAGUUUACUGGGUGGGUGUAUUGCUACUGUUAUUUCAAAAGCUCCUGUUGAUUUGCUGUGCAGUUUUCCUCUGGUAAGAAUUUUAUACCACUUGACUUGCACGCCCAGAAGUGAAGCUGCUGUCGUGGAGAGCUGAAUUAUCAGGACUGACAGAGGCCAGACAGUGGAUGUGGGUCCGUGAGCUCCCUGAAAUUAUAUGCAUCGUAUUAUCUGUGAGUGCCUGUGUGAGUAUUUCUAAGGAAAGGAUUUAUAGUUUUGUCAAGUUUGCAUAAUUAGAGGGCAUAAGUGGUGGUUUAAAAUGAGUGAGUGGGCUUGGGUAGUACCUCAAACUUCAUUUGACUUGAAGGUGGCCAUUCUUAUAAUUACUACUUUAAUUCUAGAGCGCUUCUAAAAUACAAAGAUAAAUUCUGAGGCCUAGAAUUGUAAUUCUCUCUCUCUCCCCUCCCCCUCUUUGGUCUCAUGUUUUAAAAUGGUAUUUAUGCACUCUUGUUAGUAAUUAUCUCACUCAUGGUUUCUUUGCCAAGUAACAGAGAUCGCAUUGGUAAUAACUAGUAUUUAUGUUAUAGUGCACAUUUGUGUUCAUUUUGAUGAAUAAAUAGUAGAAUCAUACAUCUUCCAGCCAUAAGGGGACUUUCUGAAUUAUUAAUAGUUUCUCAACAAUAUAGAUGAGUGAGAUUCAGUUUAAGCUUUCUAUUCCUUUAGGAAUCAUUUGUUAGGGGGCGCUUGAUGGCUGGCUUAGUCGGUUAAGUGUCAGACUACGGCUCAGGUCAUGAUCUUGUGGUUCGUGAGUUUGAGCCCCGCAUCAGGUUCUGUGCUGGUAGCUUGGAGCCUAGAGCCUGCUUCCGAUUCUGUCUCCUUUUCUCUCUACCCCUCCCCCAUUCAUUCUCUCUCUCUCUCUCUCUCUCUCUCUCUCCUCCCCCCACUCUGUCGAAAAUAAACAAACAUUAAGAAAAAAUUUUAAGGAAUCAUUUCUUAGAAAGAAGUAGGAAUGCAAACCCAGUAUUAUAAGGUUUUCUACAAAGUAUGCUGCUCAAGCUACUUCCUACAUAAACCGAGAGAGGUGCCCAUUUUUGUAAUGAGUUUGAAUAUAUGUGGCCUUGGGCUGGUUACACUAGCUUCCCAGUCUAGGAAGCCCCCAUGGGCAGCAGCCUGCAGCAUUUCCUCCUCCUGUGUUGGGCAGUGGUUAGAGCACGGGCUUUACAGCCAAGGGCCUGAGUGGGGAUCCUUACUGCCACUUCUGGUCAUGUGGCCCUGGGUGAGUCAUUUAAUCUCUCAGUGCCUCAGUGCUUCCCUUGGAUAAAACAGGGAUGAUGACAUCUACAUCAGUGAAUGCUGGGAGAUUAAAAUUAAAAGCUAAUAUAUGGAAAGAACUGAGACCUAGACCCAUAAUAGCUGUGCAAUAAAUAUGAUGCAUUAUUACUAUUUUGUGCCUAUUUCCUGCCACCCAAUCCAGGUAGCACUAAAUGAAUGGUAUGAAACAGUUAAAGGAAAAACAAAAAACAAAAAACACCUUCAUGCCCCUCCUCCCCUGACCUGCCCCCGUCACCAUCAUGUACUUGAUAACCAGACGUAGAAUUCGUUUGUGAAAAGCACUGUUACAAAAUUCCACUCCGCGAAUAUCCACAGGCUUCCUGUAAGUAACGCCAAGCUAACCAGGAAACUGUGAUUUUAAUACAGUCUCAGCAAAUCAGUUAUAAAUUAAUCUUUUUUAGCAUUUUUAAUCUUUUAAAUUAUUUUUGAGGCAUAAUAUAUGUAAAUCAUUUUCUAAAACUACAGACACCAGAAGGGUUAAAGUAAAUCUUCCCUUCACCCCAACCCCCCAGAUGAAGCUGUUCCUGGUUUUGGUGUACCGUUCAGGGAUAUGCCAUAUACAGACACCAGCAUGUAUGAGUAUAUAUCUCCUUUUUUUUUUUUUUUAACACAAAUGGCACUGAAACAUUGUUUUCAUUACUUAACCGUAUACUGUAGACACCCCAUAUUAGCAUGUUAUAGAACUAACUCAUUCUUUCAUCUCAACCGUUGAUCCUAAUUUUUCCAAAAGCUUAUUAGAAGAACAUUCUUCCUUUUUUGGAAAUAAGGAAUUGUGAAGUCAGGAGUAACAAUAGAAAAAUGUGGGGGGUGGGGAGCCUUAUCACGACCCAAUAAGAGGACCUAUUUUAUGCCAGCAGAACUGACAGUAUUUACCUAGAGACAUUUGUUCUUGUAACAAGCCACGUUUGUUCCCAACCCUGGUUCCUCAAGUACGUUUGAGGAAUGUCUACUGAAUUGUUGCCAGAAGAGGGAAGUGAGCUCAGUGGGCCUCACACAGCCCUGUGAUUGUGCCAGAAGGAAGAGGCAGGGGCCACACUCUUGAAACCAAGCCAGGGCUGGACCUUGAAGGCUGGUAGACCUGCCACGAGCGGCGGCUCGCUCAGUGCUGGUUCCUUAGCUGCCCAGUGUUCAUGUAGCCUGGGGGGGCGAGUGUGGGUGUUUUCCACUCCACGGUAGCUAAUGGUCAUGCGUGGGACUGAAAAGUUGUUUUCAAGGAUAGAAAAGGAUAGACAGUGUAAGGUCCCCUAAGCUACCAUUUUCUUCCCCAGAGACAAGGAAUCCCUCAUUCUACACGUUUAUAAGGAUAAGUUGAUCUUUCUUUCCAUACACACUAAUUUUUUGCACACUUCUACGUCUUGCUUUAUGUGAGUCUACUAAUAAUAGAUCUUGGGGAUCCUCCUAUAUUAUGUGUACAUGUUGCUGCCUUCUGCAUUUUAAGAACUGCACAGUAUUCUUUUACAUAGCUUUCCUUUUCUGAACCAGCUGCCCAUGAAUGGACUUGUAGGUUGUUUGCUACUAUAAAUAAUGCUAGAAUAAAUAUCGUUGCCAGUACUGAGGUGUGCACGUGUUCAAAUCAGGUGCUGUGUGUUGAAUACAUUCCAUGAAAUCAAAUUGUGAAUCAAAAGGGAAGUCGAUUUUUUUUUUUAAUUCUUUUUAACUCUUCACUCUGGAAAGAUGUCAAAUGCGUACACAAGUAGACAGAAGAGCACUGAAGUCCUCCGUCAUCACCACCUCGCCCCAUCGGUCACCAACUGAGAGCUGAGCUUGCAUCAUCUUCCCUCCCCAACACGAUCGUUGUGAAAGAUGCCCUACAUAUCGCUGUAUCUGUAGGUAUUUCAGUUUGUACCUCUGAAAGAUGGUUUUCAAAACCAUAACUAUAACACCAUUAUCCUACCUAAUAUCUGGUCAGCACUCAAAUACUGAAAUCCAUGAGUUCAUAACGAUAUGAAAAUCUCGAGGAUUGCACAAUGUUCAUACUCUGAUUCUGUCCUGCCUUCUUUAUUUGUCACCUAGAAUGUGUCUCUGCCGGGGACGCCUGGGUGGCUCGGUUGGUCUUGAUUUCAGCUCAGGUCGUGAUCUCGUGGUUUCUGGGUUUGAGUCCCACGUCAGGCUCUGUGCUGACAGAGUAGAGUCUGCCUGGGAUUCAGUCUCCCCCUCUCUCUGCCUCUACCCUGCUCUCUGUCUCUCUCUUUCUCUCUCAAAAAUAAAAAAAUAGACAUUAAAAAAAAAAGUCUCUGCCAAGAAACUUCCCUUCACCUGCUACUCGAUUACCCUGAAUUAUAAUAUGUACAGGAAAGUCGGGACAUAUGCUCGGCUCUUCCCUUUUACUAACUUUGAAAACAAAUGCAUCCCCCAACAUCCUCUCACAGGUGACCGGUGAGUUAGGAUUUUGUUUUGUUUUGCUCUGCUUCCGUAUCAUGACGAGCCCUUGGAAUUCAAAGUUUCAAUCUGUUGUAAUUAAUAAUUUUGCUCAUGUUCACAGUCACCAUCCUUAGCCAAUCAGAACCUCUUCAUGUUCCCUGCGUCCUUUUUUUUUACCCCGUGUCCUUUUGACAUCACUCUCCUAGUCGGUGUCUUUGCCUUCCACUCUGAUAAGAGGUUCUAGGUGCAUCUUGAGCUUGUCUCCAUCUCUCCAGAGAACUAUGACUCCCUUCAGAGGGAAGUGGCAUUUAGUCUGGGUAAUAAGGUCGAUGUUCACUGCCACCGACCUGUUAGUGUCUAGGGCUUUUCAGUGAAUAAAGCCAGGAUAUACAUAUUUUUAAAGAGAAAAUAAGUCAUUAGUUUUUGCUGGUAUUUCCCGUCGUUAUUUAGGAUUACACAACUUUUACUUUGAUUUUACAUUGUUAUAUCUCUUAAAUGGUAAAAAUCUUCGUUCCUAGCAAUAGUAACAUAAUUAUUUGCUUCAUCCUAUAGUACAUAUAAUGGUUUCAGAAUAAUACUAUAUGAAUAUUAUUAACAUUAUGACUCCUCUCAUUUUUUUCCUACAGUUCUUUUUGUCCUUAGUGUCAUUUCUAGUCCCUCCAGGUGCACCAAUUGCCGUGUUAAAGUCACCUGAGAUGAUUCUUUUUAAGUUCUAUUUAUUUAAUUUUGCUUUUGGACUUAAGGAUAAAAUAUUUACAUGGGCCCAAAGUCAAAUACGCGGAGCAAGGUAUAUUCAAAGAAGUCUAGCUUCUCUCCCUGCCCUCUCCAUCCUGUCCUUACCUCACUCUGUUUAUCCUAAGUGCGUGUGCAUGUGUGUGUGCACGUGUGUGCAUGUUUAAUAUAAGGAACACAUCUGUAUAUUCCUAGGCCCCCUUUUUCUCACAGAAUGGAGGAAUGUCACACACUUGAUUACAUCUUGCAUUUUUCCUUAACAGUUUCUCGUGGAGACCAUUCCAUGGCAGUAUUUGAGUUCUUCUUGCCCUUUUCCAGCUUCGCGAUGCUCCAGGGUGGGGCGUGCCAUAGCUUAUUUGACCAGGUCUCCACCAGUGGCCACUGGGGCAGUCCCUGCCCCGUGCUCUCACGGCUGUGGUAAGCAACUGGCAUAUACACCGUUCCAUGUCGCCGGCCCGGUGUCGUCGGGAUGGUCCAGAGGAGAGUGACGCCAGGCCCCACGCUGAGCCCUGUCCCUGUGUCGGCUCAUUCAGUCUUCCCAAGCACAAGGCCUGCUGCUGGAAACACGGAUGCUGCCAUCUUUGACCAGGAGGAAGGCCCUGGGAGUGCCCUGUGGAACGGAGGCACCCUACCUGCCCUGGAACUCAUGCCUCCGGCCUUCGGCAUGAAGACGACUUGUGGUUUGUUUAAACCACUCGUGAUUCGGGGACUUCUGCUACAGCAGAACCUCGCCUGAACCCAUCAGGGUCCCUGCCUCCCAGGGGCUGACGUGGAGACUAAAUGAGAGAGGAUGUGCUCGGCGUGCCCGGCCCAGGGCCUGAUGUGCAGUAGGCGCUCCCUCGAUGCGCGUGGCUGCUCUUUUCUCCCAGUGUGGUUACUCCUGUCCACUCCCUUCUGCCUCACAUUUGAAUGGCUUGUUCACAGCCUGCCUCCUGCACUAAGGCCACGCACCUUCACGGCAGGGACUUUGCCUUCCGUCUGUCUCCCUCUGGCCUGGGUUCCUUGGAUGCAAACAAUGGAAACCAGCUGAGGCUCGCUGCGGCAGCUUGCUGGGAGACCGCCAGGCACCCACAGGACGGCAGGGGCGGCCGACACCGAGGCGGGGCACUGACGGGUGCCAGCAGCCGCACGUCCCACCCUGAUGUGAGCAGAUGCCAACUGGCCGCCGUCUCCCUGUGCGUCUCCCACUGGCUCCAUCUGGGUCACAUGCCCACCUCUCAGCUAGAAGGUAGGGACGCCUUGGUGAACACUCCCACUGGACUGGACCCAACGGGGGUGAAUGCGUUCCCCAAACGGAAAGAGGACGCUGUUACCAAGAGAAAGUGAAAUGGCCCCUGAGCAGCAAAUGCCCAAGUAUGAAUGGGGUCUGUAUGCUCCUGGAAGUGAGAAACAAAGAUCCUGCCCCAAACAAGAGUCACCUCUCAAAAAUGGGCAUCUGUACAUGGCUGCCCCUGGUGAGGGGGUCGGUGACUCGGCUGCAGCCGCAUCAGAGCCCAGGUGCUUUCCACCCCUGGCCCUGCCCUCAGGCUUCGAGCAGGAGCUGCAGACCUGACGAGGAAGGCGAGAGGAAGGCCACUCCUGGGAGGAGGACACUUCCGCAGACAAUCCCCCGGGGUCUCGGUGGCCAGGGCACGGCAUCACACGCCCUUUCCGGAAACAUACGGGCAAGGAGGGAUGGGUUUAGACUAAUCUCCCGGAUGCAGAGAAGGUGGGGGGAGUCUAUCCCAGUUCUGCUCUGGGCCGAUGUGGGACCCAUCUGGUCGAACCUUCUCCAGCUGGCCAGGAAGGCUGAACCACAUUGUCGAGUAGUUGCCGUGAGUAACCAGCAGGUGGAACAAGGCUGUGCUGCUGGAUCCCUUCGUUUGAGGUUCUGCUCGUCAACGCGAGAGUCGGAAAAUACUUCCAGGGUCCUCUGCCCGCCUCUCCCCAACGUUAAGCCUCACCGACAUCACUAGGCGGGAAAGAUUCCAGAGAACUGUUGAACUCGCCCCUCAAACAUCAGCACCCACUGCUCCUGCCGCAGGCAGGGAAGGAGUCCACGGAGAAGCCUGCACGGAGCAGCUUCCUGUUCCAGCUCUGCCGCUUACCCGCUGUGUGGCCUUGUAGUUAACUGUCAGGGUCUGGCCUCUCCAUGAAGUGGGGACUGGAUGCUCAGCACGCCUCGGUCUGAGGUUCUUACAUUCCAGGUACCAUCUAGGCUGGGGGCUGUGUGUGGGCCCUGCCAGCCCUCCCCCUGUUGUCCCACCUCUUGGCUCCCUUUCAUGAGCAGCCAUUGUUCCGUGAGCGGUUCCUGUGUCUCCUCUCCACGUCCCUCCUCCGCACCGUCCCUUCCUGUCCAGCCCAUUCCCAUCAGCUUCUGACCCGCUCACACUUCUGUCUUCCUGGACCACUGGCUCCCUGGCCUCCAGGACCCACAUGCCGUUGUCUUUCCCUUUGACCUCUGCUUACUCUUUGUGGUCCCUCUAUAGGCUCUUCCUCGCCCGCUUGACCUCUAGCUCAGCCCUGGACCCUUUGUCUACACCCCACGAAGGAGGAGGAUCUCAGCCUGGUCCAGGGUUUUCAAGACCAGCUAUGUGCCGAUGAUCUUCUCAAAAACUCCAUGUGUUUCUCUACAUUCCAUACUUUUGUUUCAAUGAAUGUGUGGGUUUUCCACACCCAGGAGUUGGACACUAACUGCCUGGAGUUAGCGCAGACCUCACGGCUUAAGCGCUCAGUCCCACAAGACCCCACCCCCACCCCCAAACCCCCGCCACUUCAGACACCAAUCGCAUGGGCUGUCACCUAUGUCCCUCUUAUAAAUCAGAGGUUCCCGUGACCCCUCCUCAGUUUUGAUAAUUUGCUAGGAUGGUUCACAGAGCUCAGGAAAAUAGUUUACUUAUAAUUUAGGAUUUAUUCUAGAAGGACCCAACUUACAAACAGCCAGGCGGAAGCGACGCAUAGGGCAAGGUACUGGGGGGUGGCACAGAGAACUUCAUGCCCCCUCCAGGGACGCCACCUUCCCAGCACCUCCAUGUGGUCACCAACCAGGAAGCUCUCUGACCUGUCUUCCACUUAGAGUGUUUCACAGAGAUUCCAUUAUGCAGGCACCGUUGAUUCCGUCACCGGCUACUGGUGACUAAGGCAGCCCCCACCUCCUCUCCC